CGGCGAGUGAAGCGGCAACAGCUCAAAUUUGAAAUCUGGCCCUUUCAGGGUCCGAGUUGUAAUUUGUAGAGGAUGCUUCGGCGAGGGCUCCCGUCUAAGUUCCCUGGAACGGGACGUCAUAGAGGGUGAGAAUCCCGUAUGUGAUGGGUUGCUCGAGCCAUGUGAAGCUCCUUCGACGAGUCGAGUUGUUUGGGAAUGCAGCUCUAAAUGGGAGGUAAAUUUCUUCUAAAGCUAAAUACCGGCCAGAGACCGAUAGCGCACAAGUAGAGUGAUCGAAAGAUGAAAAGCACUUUGGAAAGAGAGUUAAAAAGUACGUGAAAUUGUUGAAAGGGAAGCGCUUGCAACCAGACUUGUCCGCAGUUGCUCAGCCGGUCUCCUGACCGGCGUACUCUUCUGCGGCCAGGCCAGCAUCAGUUCGGGCGGCUGGAUAAAGGCCUCGGGAAUGUGGCUCUCUUCGGGGAGUGUUAUAGCCCGGGGCGGAAUGCAGCCAGCCUGGACUGAGGAUCUCGCUUCGGCAAGGAUGCUGGCGUAAUGGUUGUAAGCGGCCCGUCUUGAAACACGGACCAAGGAGUCUAACAUCUAUGCGAGUGUUUGGGUGUCAAACCCAUACGCGUAAUGAAAGUGAACGGAGGUGGGAACCCGCAAGGGCGCACCAUCGACCGAUCCUGAUGUCUUCGGAUGGAUUUGAGUAAGAGCAUAGCUGUUGGGACCCGAAAGAUGGUGAACUAUGCCUGAAUAGGGUGAAGCCAGAGGAAACUCUGGUGGAGGCUCGCAGCGGUUCUGACGUGCAAAUCGAUCGUCAAAUUUGGGUAUAGGGGCGAAAGACUAAUCGAACCAU
rnacentral:rRNA from 1 species